AACAUUUUUUAAUAGAAAAAUACAAACAGGGUUGGAAAGAAAUUCUCUUUUCGGUGAACUAUUUCCUUAAGACAAAAUCAAAUAAUAUAAAAUUAAUAAUAAAAAAUGAAAAUAAAGAAUAUAUGUAAAUGAGCACUUAUGAAUAUAUGACUACAUGAAUAAACUUAAACUCAUAUUCAUCUGUUUCCAGAAUCUCAUCAAAGUUUGGACACAAACUGAUUCUUUAUAUCCACAUAUUAGUAAAGUCAUGAAAACUAUGAAAUAACACAAAUGGCAUUGUGGGAAUGAUGCAGUGAACAAAACAUGUUACACAAAUGAAAAUAUCUUAUAUUUGAGUUUGUUGAAGGAGGAACAGUUACUGUACGAUCACUUCAUGAUGCUCUUCAUUCAUCAUCUGCUCCAGAUCUAAACAUUAUUCAUGAUCAAGUAAAGCCUUUAUCUUGUUAAGAAAUUCACAUGAAUAUUUAAACAUAAUUUAUAUUUGUUUACAAAAGUCAUUUCAGUCAUUUAAGCAGAAGUCUUUAAAUUAAAAUGUUUUUAAGAUCCCAGGAAACAUAAAAUGACCCUGUCAGGACAAUCCAGACUCAAGCAAGUUGGAGAACGCAAGAAAAUUGGAAAAAUCACAAGAAGAUCUCUGGAGUGUCACAGGAACAUCAUUGAGUAUCACAGGUAAUCACAGGUGACAAUCAUUCAGGUGAGUUUCAUCACAGGUAACAGUCUGAAUCCACAGUCGAGCCAGAGGAAGAGUGACUGUGAGGAGUGUGAUCUUAUAGAGGAGAUGAAGAGGCGCUGAUGAUCGGUGAUCAUGUGACUGUGAGGAGUGUGAUCUUAUAGAGGA